GGUGCUUGUAGCUCAGUUGGUUUAGAGCGCUACUCUGUGAAAGUAGAGGUCGCGGGUCCGAGUCCCGUCAGGCACCCCCA
rnacentral:tRNA from 1 species